rnacentral:rRNA from 1 species
UACGUAGGGGGCAAGCGUUGUCCGGAAUUAUUGGGCGUAAAGCGCGCGCAGGCGGUCAUUUAAGUCUGGUGUUUAAUCCUGGGGCUCAACCCCAGUUCGCAUCGGAAACUGGAUGACUUGAGUGUAAGAGAGGAAAGUGGAAUUCCACGUGUAGCGGUGAAAUGCGUAGAGAUGUGGAGGAAUACCGAUGGCGAAGGCAGCCUCCUGGGCCAACACUGACGCUCAUGCACGAAAGCGUGGGGAGCAAACGGG